rnacentral:lncRNA from 1 species
AACUCUCCUCUCUCUCUCCUCUCUCUCCUCUCUCUCCUCUCUCUCCUGUCUCUCCUGUCUCUCCUGUCUCUAUGUAGUAAAACUAUCCUCUCUCUCCUCUCUCUAUGUAGUAAAACUCUCCUCUCUCUCCUCUCUCUCCUGUCUCUAUAUAGUAAAACUCUCCUCUCUCUCCUCUCUCUAUGUAAUAAAACUCUCCUCUCUCUCCUCUCUCUCCUCUCUCCUCUCUCCUGUCUCUAUGUAGUAAAACUCUCCUCUCUCUCCUCUCUCUAUGUAGUAAAACUCUCCUCUCUCUCCUCUCUCCUGUCUCUAUGUAGUAAAACUCUCCUCUCUCUCCUCUCUCUCCUCUCUCUAUGUAGUAAAACUCUCCUCUCUCUCCUCUCUCUCCUCUCUCUCCUGUCUUUAUGUAGUAAAACUCUCCUCUCUCUCCUCUCUCUCCUCUCUCUCCUGUCUCUCCUGUCUCUAUGUAGUAAAACUAUCCUCUCUCUCCUCUCUCUAUGUAGUAAAACUCUCCUCUCUCUCCUCUCUCUCCUGUCUCUAUAUAGUAAAACUCUCCUCUCUCUCCUCUCUCUCCUCUCUCCUCUCUCCUGUCUCUAUGUAGUAAAACUCUCCUCUCUCUCCUCUCUCUAUGUAGUAAAACUCUCCUCUCUCUCCUCUCUCCUGUCUCUAUGUAGUAAAACUCUCCUCUCUCUCCUCUCUCUCCUCUCUCUAUGUAGUAAAACUCUCCUCUCUCUCCUCUCUCUCCUCUCUCUCCUGUCUUUAUGUAGUAAAACUCUCCUCUCUCUCCUCUCUCUCCUCUCUCUCCUGUCUCUCCUGUCUCUAUGUAGUAAAACUAUCCUCUCUCUCCUCUCUCUAUGUAGUAAAACUCUCCUCUCUCUCCUCUCUCUCCUGUCUCUAUAUAGUAAAACUCUCCUCUCUCUCCUCUCUCUCCUCUCUCCUCUCUCCUGUCUCUAUGUAGUAAAACUCUCCUCUCUCUCCUCUCUCUCCUCUCUCUAUGUAGUAAAACUCUCCUCUCUCUCCUCUCUCUCCUCUCUAUGUAGUAAAACUCUCCUCUCUCUCCUCUCUGUCCUCUCUCUCCUGUCUUUAUGUAGUAAAACUCUCCUCUCUCUCCUCUCUGUCCUCUCUCUCCUGUCUUUAUGUAGUAAAACUCUCCUCUCUCUCCUCUCUCUCCUCUCUCUAUGUAGUAAAACUCUCCUCUCUCUCCUCUCUCCUGUCUCUAUGUAG